CAAACAGGAUUAGAUACCCUGGUAGUCCACGCCCUAAACGAUGUCUACUAGUUGUCGGGUCUUAAUUGACUUGGUAACGCAGCUAACGCGUGAAGUAGACCGCCUGGGGAGUACGGUCGCAAGAUUAAAACUCAAAGGAAUUGACGGGGACCCGCACAAGCGGUGGAUGAUGUGGAUUAAUUCGAUGCAACGCGAAAAACCUUACCUACCCUUGACAUGUACAGAAUCCCGAAGAGAUUUGGGAGUGUUCGAAAGAAAACUGUAACACAGGUGCUGCAUGGCUGUCGUCAGCUCGUGUCGUGAGAUGUUGGGUUAAGUCCCGCAACGAGCGCAACCCUUGUCAUUAGUUGCUACGAAAGGGCACUCUAAUGAGACUGCCGGUGACAAACCGGAGGAAGGUGGGGAUGACGUCAAGUCCUCAUGGCCCUUAUGGGUAGGGCUUCACACGUCAUACAAUGGUACAUACAGAGGGCCCCCAACCCGCGAGGGGGAGCUAAUCCCAGAAAGUGUAUCGUAGUCCGGAUUGUAGUCUGCAACUCGACUACAUGAAGUUGGAAUCGCUAGUAAUCGCGGAUCAGCAUGUCGCGGUGAAUACGUUCCCGGGUCUUGUACACACCGCCCGUCACACCAUGGGAGCGGGUUUUACCAGA
rnacentral:rRNA from 1 species